rnacentral:rRNA from 1 species
AUUGAACGCUGGCGGCAGGCCUAACACAUGCAAGUCGAGCGAGCGGCGGACGGGUGAGUAAUGUAUGGGGAUCUGCCCGAUAGAGGGGGAUAACUACUGGAAACGGUGGCUAAUACCGCAUACUCACGGCUGAAACCAGAUGGGAUUAGAUAGUAGGUGGGGUAAAGGCUCACCUAGGCGACGAACCCUAGCUGGUCUGAGAGGAUGAACAGCCACACUGGAACUGAGACACGGCCCAGACGCCGACGGGAGGCAGCAGUGGGGAAUAUUGCACAAUUGGCGCAAGCCUGAUGCAGCCAUGCCGCGUGUAUGAAGAAGGCCUUAGGGUUGUAAAGUACUGUCAGCGAGGAGGCGUUACCCGCAGAAGAAGCACCGGCUAACUCCGUGCCAGCAGCCGCGGUAAUUC